rnacentral:lncRNA from 1 species
CCGCCAAUAGGGAAGCGGCCAAGGGACGAGGCCACGCCCCCCUGGCCGGCCCGCCGGGGAGCCCCGCUCCGGCAGGGGGCGCCAUUUUGUGCCUCCCACCCCUCCGCCAGGGGGCGCCAUUUUGUGCCGCCCCGCCGAGGGGCGCUGUCGGUCCUGUGGGGGCUGCAGCCCCGCUGGGCGCUGUGGGGUGCCCAGAUCCUGCAGUUCCUUCGGCUUUUGUUUGGGGGGCUGAGGGAGAGCAAGACGCAGCCAGGACCGAAGGACCCUCAGCCCUUCCUGGGCUGUCACCGAUGGCACAGCCUGCCUUGCAGAGCGGCUCCGGGCUCCUUGGACAGCCUCGGGGCUGCUUUGACUCACACCUGCUUGCCCCAAGGCUCCUUGGUGCAUCCUAGUCCCCUUGGGCUCCAUCUGAGGAGAACCCUCGAAGGCUUGAAGGCAAAACAAGCAAAAACAAGCCAUGGGCCUCAGAGAUGAUGUGAGUAGGGCCUGAGGUUUGCACUAGAAAUCACUCAUGCUUGUGGGAAAGACAGAGAACUCUUGCAGACAAUGGAGAAAAAUAUUUGUGCAGCUUACGGAGAGACAUCCAGGGGGACUGAACUGUUGCUGGAAGGAACCUCUGACUCCAGCUUGCCUCAUCAGUUUGGGAAGCGGCCAUCUGUCUCCAGGCUGCCAUUAGGAAACAAUCUUUGGUGCACGCUGUCCCAAGCCAUGCCCGUUGGAGGGGCCUCCCGUGUAACUUCAUCAGAGUUCACAGACCUCCCCCCAUGUCCCAUGAACUUGGAAAGCUUGUUCCCCUCCAUGCUGGCACGAGGACUGCUGGUAUUGCAGAGCCUCUUGGCAAAGUGCCUGUGUUCAUCUGAAUGGAAAAUCCAGGCGAGGAUCUCCAGAGCCCACGGUUCACAAUGA